rnacentral:rRNA from 1 species
AGGACGAACGCUGGCGGCGUGCUUAACACAUGCAAGUGGAGCGACGAACCAGGGCUUGCCCUGGGGCAAAGCCGCGAACGGGUGAGUAACACGUGGGUAACCUGCCCCGAUGACUGGGACAACCCGAGGAAACUCGAGCUAAUACCAGAUGAUUUCAUGGCUCAUGAGGGCCAUGAGGAAAGGAAGCUUCGGCCUCCGCAUUGGGAUGGGCCCGCGGCGCAUUAGCUUGUUGGUGAGGUAACGGCUCACCAAGGCGACGAUGCGUAGCUGGUCUGAGAGGACGAUCAGCCACACUGGGACUGAGACACGGCCCAGACUCCUACGGGAGGCAGCAGUGGGGAAUCUUGCGCAAUGCGCGAAAGCGUGACGCAGCAACGCCGCGUGCGGAAGACGGCCUCGGUUGUAAACCGCGUUCAGUUGGACGAAGGUUCGCCGGUGAAGUAGCCGGCGUGGACUGACGGUACCGUUCAGAAGAAGACCCGGCUAACUACGUGCC